UUGUAAACUUCUUUUAUAGGGAUAAAGUGGAGGACGGGUCCUUUUUUGUAUUGUACCCUAUGAAUAAGCAUCGGCUAACUCCGUGCCAGCAGCCGCGGUAAUACGGAGGAUGCGAGCGUUAUCCGGGAUUUAUUGGGNUAAAGGGUGCGUAGGUGGUGAUUUAAGUCAGCGGUGAAAGUUUGUGGCUCAACCAUAAAAUUGCCGUUGAAACUGGGUUACUUGAGUGUGUUUGAGGUAGGCGGAAUGCGUGGUGUAGCGGUGAAAUGCAUAGAUAUCACGCAGAACUCCGAUUGCGAAGGCAGCUUACUAAACCAUAACUGACACUGAAGCACGAAAGCGUGGGGAUCAAACAGGAUUAGAUACCCUGGUAGUCCACGCAGUAAACGAUGAUUACUAGGAGUUUGCGAUACAAUGUAAGCUCUACAGCGAAAGCGUUAAGUAAUCCACCUGGGGAGUACGCCGGCAACGGUGAAACUCAAAGGAAUUGACGGGGGCCCGCACAAGCGGAGGAACAUGUGGUUUAAUUCGAUGAUACGCGAGGAACCUUACCCGGGUUUGAACGUAGUCUGACCGGAGUGGAAACACUCCUUCUAGCAAUAGCAGAUUACGAGGUGCUGCAUGGUUGUCGUCAGCUCGUGCCGUGAGGUGUCGGCUUAAGUGCCAUAACGAGCGCAACCCUUAUCACUAGUUACUAACAGGUGAAGCUGAGGACUCUGGUGAGACUGCCAGCGUAAGCUGUGAGGAAGGUGGGGAUGACGUCAAAUCAGCACGGCCCUUACAUCCGGGGCGACACACGUGUUACAAUGGCAUGGACAAAGGGCAGCUACCUGGCGACAGGAUGCUAAUCUCCAAACCAUGUCUCAGUUCGGAUCGGAGUCUGCAACUCGACUCCGUGAAGCUGGAUUCGCUAGUAAUCGCGCAUCAGCCAUGGCGCGGUGAAUACGUUCCCGGGCCUUGUACACACCGCCCGUCAAGCCAUGGGAGCCGGGGGUACCUGAAGUCCGUAACCGCAAGGAUCGGCCUAGGGUAAAACUGGUGACUGGGGCU
rnacentral:rRNA from 1 species